rnacentral:rRNA from 1 species
UACAGAGGUCUCAAGCGUUGUUCGGAUUCAUUGGGCGUAAAGGGUGUGUAGGUGGCGCCGUAAGUCGGGUGUGAAAUUUCGGAGCUUAACUCCGAAACUGCAUUCGAUACUGUGGUGCUGGAGUACUGGGGGAGGAGAUUGGAAUUUACGGUGUAGCAGUGAAAUGCGUAGAUAUCGUAAGGAAGACCAGUGGCGAAGGCGAAUCUCUGGACAGUUACUGACACUGAGGCACGAAGGCCAGGGGGAGCAAACGGG